GUGGGGAAUUUUGGACAAUGGGCGCAAGCCUGAUCCAGCGACGCCGCGUGGAGGACGAAGGCCUUCGGGUUGUAAACUCCUUUUGGAGGGGAAGAAUAAAUUGACGGUACCCUCAGAAAAAGCCACGGCUAACUACGUGCCAGCAGCCGCGGUAAUACGUAGGUGGCGAGCGUUACUCGGAAUUACUAGGCGUAAAGCGUAUGUAGGUGGUUAGAUAAGUCUAUGGUGAAAUUUCCUGGCUUAACUGGGAAGGGACAUAGAUACUAUCUGGCUUGAGUGUGGGAGGGGAAGACGGAAUUCCUGGUGUAGCGGUGAAAUGCGUAGAUAUCAGGAGGAACACCGAUGGCGAAAGCAGUCUUCUGGCCCAAUACUGACACUGAGGUACGAAAGCUAGGGUAGCAAACAGGAUUAGAAACCCUUGUAGUCC
rnacentral:rRNA from 1 species